rnacentral:rRNA from 1 species
AGUGAACGCUGGCGGUAGGCCUAACACAUGCAAGUCGAACGGCAGCACAGUAAGAGCUUGCUCUUACGGGUGGCGAGUGGCGGACGGGUGAGGAAUACAUCGGAAUCUACUUUUUCGUGGGGGAUAACGUAGGGAAACUUACGCUAAUACCGCAUACGACCUACGGGUGAAAGCAGGGGAUCUUCGGACCUUGCGCGAUUGAAUGAGCCGAUGUCGGAUUAGCUAGUUGGCGGGGUAAAGGCCCACCAAGGCGCCGAUCCGUAGCUGGUCUGAGAGGAUGAUCAGCCACACUGGAACUGAGACACGGUCCAGACUCCUACGGGAGGCAGCAGUGGGGAAUAUUGGACAAUGGGCGCAAGCCUGAUCCAGCCAUACCGCGUGAGUGAAGAAGGCCUUCGGGUUGUAAAGCCCUUUUGUUGGGAAAGAAAAGCAGCAGGUUAAUACCCCGCUGUUCUGACGGUACCCAAAGAAUAAGCACCGGCUAACUUCGUG